CGGACGGGUGAGUAACACGUGGGUAACCUACCUCCGGGUGGGGAAUAACUUCGGGAAACCGGGACUAAUUCCGCAUAACAUUUCGGGCUUUCAAGAGCCUGUUAUCAAAGCUGGGGACCCUUCGGGGCCUGGCGCCUGGUGAGGGACCCGCGGCCGAUUAGCUUGUUGGUGAGGUAAUGGCUCACCAAGGCUGCGAUCGGUAGCCGGCCUGAGAGGGCGGACGGCCACACUGGGACUGAGACACGGCCCAGACUCCUACGGGAGGCAGCAGUGGGGAAUUUUUGUCAAUGGGGGAAACCCUGAACAAGCAACGCCGCGUGGAGGAUGAGGGCCUUCGGGUCGUAAACUCCUGUCGGAGGGGACGAAAGCGAUUGGGGUUAAUACCCUCAGUUGUUGACGGUACCCUAUGAGGAAGCCCCGGCUAACUCCGUGCCAGCAGCCGCGGUAAUACGGGGGGGGCAAGCGUUGUUCGGAAUUACUGGGCGUAAAGGGCGCGUAGGCGGCCCGGCUAGUCCCUUGUGAAAUCCCACGGCUCAACUGUGGAACUGCAGGGGAUACUGCCAGGCUUGAGUCCGGGAGAGGGGAGUGGAAUUCCCAGUGUAGCGGUGAAAUGCGUAGAUAUUGGGAGGAACACCGGUGGCGAAGGCGGCUCCCUGGACCGGUACUG
rnacentral:rRNA from 1 species